AUUGAACGCUGGCGGCAUGCCUUGCACAUGCAAGUCGAACGGCAGCACGGGUGCUUGCACCUGGUGGCGAGUGGCGAACGGGUGAGUAAUACAUCGGAACAUGUCCUGUAGUGGGGGAUAGCCCGGCGAAAGCCGGAUUAAUACCGCAUACGAUCUACGGAUGAAAGCGGGGGACCUUCGGGCCUCGCGCUAUAGGGUUGGCCGAUGGCUGAUUAGCUAGUUGGUGGGGUAAAGGCCCACCAAGGCGACGAUCAGUAGCUGGUCUGAGGGGACGACCAGCCACACUGGGACUGAGACACGGCCCAGACUCCUACGGGAGGCAGCAGUGGGGAAUUUUGGACAAUGGGCGAAAGCCUGAUCCAGCAAUGCCGCGUGUGUGAAGAAGGCCUUCGGGUUGUAAAGCACUUUUGUCCGGAAAGAAAUCCUUGGCCCUAAUACGGUCGGGGGAUGACGGUACCGGAAGAAUAAGCACCGGCUAACUACGUG
rnacentral:rRNA from 1 species